GAUCGGCUAACUCCGUGCCAGCAGCCGCGGUAAUACGGAGGAUCCGAGCGUUAUCCGGAUUUAUUGGGUUUAAAGGGAGCGUAGAUGGAUGUUUAAGUCAGUUGUGAAAGUUUGCGGCUCAACCGUAAAAUUGCAGUUGAUACUGGAUAUCUUGAGUGCAGUUGAGGCAGGCGGAAUUCGUGGUGUAGCGGUGAAAUGCUUAGAUAUCACGAAGAACUCCGAUUGCGAAGGCAGCCUGCUAAGCUGCAACUGACAUUGAGGCUCGAAAGUGUGGGUAUCAAACAGGAUUAGAUACCCUGGUAGUCCACACGGUAAACGAUGAAUACUCGCUGUUUGCGAUAUACUGCAAGCGGCCAAGCGAAAGCGUUAAGUAUUCCACCUGGGGAGUACGCCGGCAACGGUGAAACUCAAAGGAAUUGACGGGGGCCCGCACAAGCGGAGGAACAUGUGGUUUAAUUCGAUGAUACGCGAGGAACCUUACCCGGGCUUAAAUUGCAGAUGAAUUACGGUGAAAGCCGUAAGCCGCAAGGCAUCUGUGAAGGUGCUGCAUGGUUGUCGUCAGCUCGUGCCGUGAGGUGUCGGCUUAAGUGCCAUAACGAGCGCAACCCUUGUUGUCAGUUACUAACAGGUUCCGCUGAGGACUCUGACAAGACUGCCAUCGUAAGAUGUGAGGAAGGUGGGGAUGACGUCAAAUCAGCACGGCCCUUACGUCCGGGGCUACACACGUGUUACAAUGGGGGGUACAGAGGGCCGCUACCACGCGAGUGGAUGCCAAUCCCCAAAACCUCUCUCAGUUCGGACUGGAGUCUGCAACCCGACUCCACGAAGCUGGAUUCGCUAGUAAUCGCGCAUCAGCCACGGCGCGGUGAAUACGUUCCCGGGCCUUGUACACACCGCCCGUCAAGCCAUGGGAGCCGGGGGUACCUGAAGUGCGUAACCGCGAGGAGCGCCCUAGGGUAAAACUGGUGACUGGGGCUAAGUCGUAACAAGGUAGCCGUACCGGAAGGUGCGGCUG
rnacentral:rRNA from 1 species